GAAAGUCUCUUUUCGGGGGCAACUUCGGCAGCCGAAAGGCCUGCCUCUCAAGCCAUGUUCGGCGGCCGAAAGUUCCUUCGGCUGCCGAACCUGGUUUCUGCCAAAAGGCAGAAACUUGGCUCCCUUUGCACAAAAUUUUCUCCCAUCCAAUCCAACAUGCAUAUAACUCACCAAAUCAUGCAAAUAUACAUACAUUGGCUCCUAGGGG
rnacentral:lncRNA from 1 species